GGAAGGACUGCCCUGCCUCAGGGAAGUGAGCGCCACAGAUGCUGAAAUACACCAGCACUUUCUCUGACAAAGGGGACGGGGGUUCAACCCACUGCCUAUCACAGAGUGGAGGACCACAGAGGAGUGGCAAGUAUUUCAAAGAACCAACAACCUGGACUGCAAGAUCCCCACAGACAAGAAUCACAUACUUCUACUGACUUCCUCAUGAGCUUGAACUCAAAGUCCAGACGAGUCCAAUUUCGGCAAAACUCAAUGGAGAAGCAGCUCACAGAGCUGUCUUUGAAGAGGUUGGCCAGCUUGGUAGAUCCUGCUUCUCUAUAAAUGCAAUCAUGGCAUGCAUUUUCCCCCCAACAAGACUGAAAAUUUAAGACCAACUUCAGCAAGAAAAAGUAUUAUGUAUCUGAGCACAUCCUUCAUAUUGAUUCAUGCCUCACUUCAUAUCACAGUGUUUCAAGGUUCUAAAUGACCAAGGAAUUUCAGGCACCCUUUCUAAGACAAGGAACAGCACAGAGGAAAAUCUG
rnacentral:lncRNA from 1 species